GGGGCAGUAGCUCAGCUGGGAGAGCGGUGCGUUCGCAACGCACAGGUCGGCGGUUCGAAUCCGCUCUGCUCCA
rfam:Candidatus Cloacimonas sp. 4484_209 ex4484_209_scaffold_10941, whole genome shotgun sequence.